UACGUAGGGGGCUAGCGUUGUUCGGCUUUACUGGGCGUAAAGCGCGUGUAGGCGGGUCGUUAAGUUGGGGGUGAAAUCCCGGAGCUCAACUCCGGAACUGCCUUCAAAACUGGCGACCUGGACUCAAGCAGAGGCAAGUGGAAUUGCGAGUGUAGAGGUGAAAUUCGUAGAUAUUCGCAGGAACACCAGUGGCGAAGGCGACUUGCUGGGCUUGUAGUGACGCUGAGACGCCAAAGCGUGGGGAGCACACAGG
rnacentral:rRNA from 1 species